rnacentral:rRNA from 1 species
GACGAACGCUGGCGGCGUGCUUAACACAUGCAAGUCGAACGGAAAGGCCCUGCUUUUGUUGGUUGCUCGAGUGGCGAACGGGUGAGUAACACGUGAGUAACCUGUCCUUGACUUUGGGAUAACUUCAGGAAACUGGGGCUAAUAUCGGAUAGGAUCUCUUGCUGCAUGGUGGGCGUUGGUAAGUUUCGGCGGUUGGGGCUGGACUCGCGGCUUAUCAGCUUGUUGGUGGGGUAGUGGCUUACCAAGGCUUUGACGGGUAGCCGGCCUGAGAGGGUGACCGGCCACAUUGGGACUGAGAUACGGCCCAGACUCCUACGGGAGGCAGCAGUGGGGAAUAUUGCACAAUGGGCGGAAGCCUGAUGCAGCAACGCCGCGUGCGGGAUGACGGCCUUCGGGUUGUAAACCGCUUUCGCCUGUGACGAAGCGUGAGUGACGGUAAUGGGUAAAGAAGCACCGGCUAACUACGUG